GCCCAGUCUGGAUUAAGGCGUCGAACCGCUUUGAGAAAGCAGUGCGCAAGCCUCCGGAGCCGAAGAUCCGGGGUUCAAAUCCCCGCGGGCCC
rnacentral:tRNA from 1 species